AAUAUUUAAAAUUAUUAAAUAUUUCUGGUGUACUUGAAUUUUAUAAAGAUUAGUUUUAAAACUAAUAUAGAAAACAAAAUUUAGUUUUUAAAUUUUAUUAAAUUAAAUAAAAUUAAUUAUAAUAUUUUAACGAAAAAUAAAAUUUUGUUUAUAUCUAUUUUUUUAAAAAUUUAUAAGUUAAGUUAUAAGCUAUUAAUUUAUAAUCAAAUUAAAAUAAAUUAUAUAAAAAUUAGUAAAAAAAUUAAAAUAAUUUUAAUUUUAUUCUAAAAUUUAAAAACUAAAUUAUAUAAUGGACUGUUUAUCAAAAACAUUUUUUUAUUUUUAUAAAAUAAUCCUGCUCAAUGUUAAAUAAAUAGCAGUUUUAGCGUGAUUACUUGAAAGUAGCAAAAUCCAUAGAUCUUUAAUAUAGUUCUUGACUGAAGGAGGCAACUAUUAUAAAAUUUUUAAACUUUAUUUGUUGAAAUUAAAUUAAUUUUGGAAAUAAAAUUUUUUAAUUUAUUACGAGAAGACCCUAAGAUUUAGAUUAUUAAUUAGUGUAAAAUUAAAUUGGGUUUUUAAAUUAAAUUAUUUAAAAAAUUUUACUUAUAGUCAAAAUAAAUACCUUAGGGAUAACAGCUUAAAAUCUUAUUAAUUAAUAAGUAAUAUGACCUCGAUGUUGACUUAAUAAAAGAAGCUUAAAAAUUUUUUAAUUUAAACUGUUCGUUUUUUAUUAUUUGUGAGCUGAGUUAAAAACACUGAAAAGUAGUUUGGUUUCUAUAAAAAUUAAUAUUAUAGUAAUUUUUUAGUACGAAAGGACUUAAAAUACUUAAAUUUUUAAUUGUUUUUAAAUUUUCUUUUAC
rnacentral:rRNA from 1 species